rnacentral:rRNA from 1 species
UACGUAGGGUGCAAGCGUUGUCCGGAAUUAUUGGGCGUAAAGAGCUCGUAGGUGGCCUGUCGCGUCGGCUGUGAAAACUCGGGGCUCAACUCCGAGCUUGCAGUCGAUACGGGCAGGCUAGAGUUCGGCAGGGGAGACUGGAAUCCCUGGUGUAGCGGUGAAAUGCGCAGAUAUCAGGAGGAACACCGGUGGCGAAGGCGGGUCUCUGGGCCGAUACUGACACUGAGGAGCGAAAGCGUGGGGAGCGAACAGG